rnacentral:rRNA from 1 species
AUUGAACGCUGGCGGCAGGCCUAACACAUGCAAGUCGGACGGUAGCACAGGGGAGCUUGCUCCUCGGGUGACGAGUGGCGGACGGGUGAGUAAUGUCUGGGGAUCUGCCCGAUAGAGGGGGAUAACCACUGGAAACGGUGGCUAAUACCGCAUAAUGUCGCAAGACCAAAGAGGGGGACCUUCGGGCCUCUCACUAUCGGAUGAACCCAGAUGGGAUUAGCUAGUAGGCGGGGUAACGGCCCACCUAGGCGACGAUCCCUAGCUGGUCUGAGAGGAUGACCAGCCACGCUGGAACUGAGACACGGUCCAGACUCCUACGGGAGGCAGCAGUGGGGAAUAUUGCACAAUGGGCGCAAGCCUGAUGAAGCCAUGCCGCGUGUAUGAAGAAGGCCUUCGGGUUGUAAAGUACUUUCAGCGGGGAGGAAGGCGAUGUGGUUAAUAACCGCGUCGAUUGACGUUACCCGCAGAAGAAGCACCGGCUAACUCCGUGCCAGCAGCCGCAGUAA